rnacentral:lncRNA from 1 species
GUGCCAUAAGGAAUCCCACGCCUACCAGAUUUUUGGACGCCAAUAUAUCUCAUGCCCUUCUCUUUGUUGCAUGUAAUAAGUUCACAUUGAACUCCCUUUCUUUGUGAGAUAAUAUGGGCGCAAAUAAGAAGGGUGCGCGGCAUUAUAAUUCUAGAGUCCAAGGGAGUUUGGACUCUUACCUAAAAACCUAUCUACUUCCUAUUUAAACAUGGGAUCAAUAUGGGGUGGUA